rnacentral:pre_miRNA from 1 species
CGCCUCGAGGUAAGAAGCAAAUAGCACAUGCAGGAGGUAAGAAAGAAGCAAGCGAAUGCGUGUGCUCUUUCCUUCUUACCCUCGAGCCGG